rnacentral:rRNA from 1 species
AUGAACGGUGUUGAUUGUAUCAAGUUUGAUCUCGCCUGUCUAUCUUUUCUCGUUCUUGAUCUGUAUUGCUUUAAGCUUUCUGAAAAAGCUGGGCAUUCAUGCCUACUCUCUGAAACUUUGACUGAUCUCCUCGAGUUUGACGUCAUGGAGUUGGUGAACGGGCAGUUACGGGUUAAUGAUUUUUGCUUGGUGUCCCGUGGUAUUUAUCCUCUGUUUUACUUUGUCCGAAGAGUAACUAUUCGUGUUUGUGCUUGUAGCGUUUUUGUGUGCACAGUAACGGAAUUUCAGUAUGCACGACGAAAUUGGUCAACAACUCUGUUGAUUUCCUCAGUUCGACGUGAUGAACUGAAUUAG